AGUUAGCCGGGGCUUCCUCCUCAAGUACCGUCAUUAUCUUCUUUGAGGACAGAGCUUUACGACCCGAAGGCCUUCAUCGCUCACGCGGCGUUGCUGCAUCAGGCUUUCGCCCAUUGUGCAAUAUUCCCCA
rnacentral:rRNA from 1 species